ACUCGAGCCUAGAAGUUGUCAUGCAAAUGAUCCCUAUAUUGAAGUCUCUAACAAGAGUUUGACUCACACAGGCAGUGAGUCAACUCAAGUCUAUCUCUACGCACGUUCAACUUCCUCGAAAGUUGAUUGAUCAUACGACCCCUACAGAAAGGAGAUGAGAAGCAAAAGUAGAUAAACAUCACAAGCAAACAGCACACACUAUACGCAAACAAGUGGGCUCAAGCAAG
rnacentral:lncRNA from 1 species